UACGUAGGAUCCAAGCGUUGUCCGGAUUUACUGGGCGUAAAGGGUGCGCAGGCGGACUCAUAAGUCAGUGGUGAAAUCUCACAGCUUAACUGUGAAACUGCCUUUGAUACUGUAGGUCUUGAAUUAGGGAGAGAUUCGUGGAAUUCCGAGUGUAGCAGUGAAAUGUGUAGAUAUUCGGAAGAACACCAGAGGCGAAGGCAGCGAAUUGGCCCGAUAUUGACGCUCAGGCACGAAAGCAUGGGGAUCAAACAGG
rnacentral:rRNA from 1 species